rnacentral:rRNA from 1 species
UGGAGCAUGUGGUUUAAUUCGAAGCAACGCGAAGAACCUUACCUGGCCUUGACAUCCCGGGAAUUUCCUGGAAACAGGAGAGUGCUUUCAUUAGAGAGAACCUGGAGACAGGUGCUGCAUGGCUGUCGUCAGCUCGUGUCGUGAGAUGUUGGGUUAAGUCCCGCAACGAGCGCAACCCUUGCCUUUAGUUGCCAGCAGUUCGGCUGGGCACUCUAAAGGGACUGCCGGUGUCAAACCGGAGGAAGGUGGGAUGACGUCAAAUCAUCAUGCCCCUUAUGUCUUGGGCUUCACGCAUGCUACAAUGGCCGGUACAAAGGGCUGCGAUACCGCGAGGUGGAGCGAAUCCCAGAAAGCCAGUCUCAGUUCGGAUUGGGGUCUGCAACUCGACCCCAUGAAGUCGGAGUCGCUAGUAAUCGCAGAUCAGCAACGCUGCGGUGAAUACGUUCCCGGGCCUU